ACGGGAGGCAGCAGUGGGGAAUAUUGCACAAUGGGGGAAACCCUGACGCAGCGACGCCGCGUGAGCGAAGAAGUAUUUCGGUAUGUAAAGCUCUAUCAGCAGGGAAGAUAAUGACGGUACCUGACUAAGAAGCCCCGGCUAACUACGUGCCAGCAGCCGCGGUAAUACGUAGGGGGCAAGCGUUAUCCGGAUUUACUGGGUGUAAAGGGAGCGUAGACGGCAAGGCAAGUCUGAUGUGAAAACCCAGGGCUUAACCCUGGGACUGCAUUGGAAACUGUCUGGCUCGAGUGCCGGAGAGGUAAGCGGAAUUCCUAGUGUAGCGGUGAAAUGCGUAGAUAUUAGGAAGAACACCAGUGGCGAAGGCGGCUUACUGGACGGUAACUGACGUUGAGGCUCGAAAGCGUGGGGAGCAAACAGGAUUAGAUACCCUGGUAGUCCACGCCGUAAACGAUGAUUGCUAGGUGUUGGGGAGCAAAGCUCUUCGGUGCC
rnacentral:rRNA from 1 species